UCCGGUUGGAACAGGGCGCCAG
rnacentral:misc_RNA from 1 species